AGCAGUGUUACCCCAGAUAGCUAAACCAUGGAGCCCAUUCGUAUACCAAAAGACUUUGGCUCCAUGGCAAUUGAACUGUAUGUAUGUAUGUGAUCUGAGCGCCAUCGGGUAGUAAUGGGCACUCAGAUCUAAGCUAUCUGGGGCUAGGUAGAAUGAGUAUGUUCUAUGUGAUGAAUGUAACAGUACGUAUUUUUAUGUCUUUUAUUGUCCUUUG